AUUCUUUCCCCCCCAGGUCUCAAAUAUUGAGGCCUUUCUUCUCUCUGAGGGUGACAGCAAAGCUGCUGCCUCCCAGUUACAUCCCAGUUCUUUCCCCAUCACUCCUCCAGCUCUGUGGUUCCUCAGCCCCCUGGGUAGGAUAGUUUGGAGUGUCAGAAGGAGGGAAUGGACUUUCAUCUGGCCGCUCUACCUGACCAACCACCAACUCUUGCUCCUGUAUUCCUCUUUUCCAGCCUCACUUGUGGCCCCUGACCCCAAGGUUUGAGCCUCUGCACCUGCAGCCAUUGAAGUAGCACAGGAAAAGCUGGGCUGGGACUAUUGGCAGGUCUGGAUGGAAAACUGGGAUGGCCAGGACUUUGCAGUGGUUCUGCAAUGUCUCUGAUGAAGCAGCAAAGUUCUCCCACCAAUUAACCCCCAGCCCUUUGCCCCUGCCCUGGAGGGCACACACAGGGCGUGUGGGCACCACCCGCCUUUCUCUUUAUCUUAUCUUCACCUUUAUCUCCUUCCCAUCUCCUUGAAACACCAGCUCGGGAUGGGAAACUGCAGAAAUCU